rnacentral:lncRNA from 10 species
UCUUUGCCGGCUGUUUGUCAGUUGUCCCAGGAUCUAUUCUGCAGGUUCCAGAGCAAAUUAGGUGUCUCAGCCACCCCUACUUUGGGUGCCAGAAACUAUAGGGGGCAGAAAGGUGACAUCUUUCCUCACCUGUUAUAAGGAUCAUGGUCAACACUCCUUGGGGAAGAGGAAUUCUGGUUUCUGUGAAUCACCUCAGAGGAGAAAGACUGGUGGAAAACCGAAGGAUGGGAGAGGUCAGAGAGCCCCGCCUUCUGAGACCUUCCAGUCUCCUUCAGUUUAAAUUACUCAGCAUGUCAAAGUGUUCAGAGCCCAACACCAGGUUAUUGGGCCUUAUGUUCCAAGUAGAGAACUGCAUGGUGUAGACAAGAGGUGGUAUUGAAGGACUGGGUGGCAGAGCAGGGACAAGGUCAAUGGCAUUUCGGAGUUACUCAUCUGGUACCAGUGUGGAGCCUGGAUUCCAGAAGGUAAGACUGACAUCCAAGAGCCACUGCAGGAGCAUUUCAGAGCAAGUGAAGGAUACUGAGGGCCUGAAAAGGGAUGGGAGGCAAGAGGAUGGAUUUAACAGAAAGUGAUAAUAGGGAAACUUGGCAGUUCUCAGGAGCUGGGUGGAGGAAUAAGAGAGGAAAUGAGUUGCUUAAUGGAUCAUUAAACAGGCCCACAUAUACACAAUACUGUAUAUAAAAACCUCAAAUGUUUUCAAGAUUCUUCAGUUUAGCUGAGGUUAAAUUGUCCUUCAUUCCUAUCCAUGUGACUGUAACAAGUUGCAUUUUCUUUCAUGACAUUUGAACGUAAAACUUGAAUGUCUCACAUCACAAAAACCCUGUUUUAUGGUCAGACACGUAUGGAGAGAGUUGGUCCUGGAGAUGGAAGAUAAGUGGAAAAUGAUGCUUACUUAUGUCAGAGAGACAUGUGCCUAAUCUAUGAACAUUUACACAUACCAGUGAGUAGAAAAUUCAAUAUCACAUAACAAAUGCUAUCUUAUUUCUGAGGACUAGCAGGUAAGUAAAGUCACUCUGUAUAUAGGCCACUAAAUCCAAAAGGUAGGAGACAUUAUCCCUGUCCUGGAAGAACUCACAUCCUGGGAGAUGAGAUAAACCACACAGCUGAUAUGGGAAAUACCCUUAGGAUCUUACAAAGCAAGACGCCAUCAA